UCGGGUGUGGUGUAGCGGUAACAUCGUUGACUCUCACUUGCUCAACAGCCCCGGGUUCGACUCCCGGCAUCCGAG